rnacentral:lncRNA from 10 species
GUGGGAGGGGGUGGGGGUGGGGGCAAGAUAGCCAGUUAGAAGCAGCUGCGGUCUGCGGCGCUCAUGGAAAGGAAUGAAGGCAGUGAGUGAAUUCAGCCCCUUCAACUGAAAUAUCCAGGUUCUUGCACUGGGACUGACUAGGCAACCAGCUCGACCCUUGGAGAAUGAAGAAAAGCAGGGUAGGGUGACGGCUCACCCAGGAGCAGCAGGGAGCCAAAGGAAACCCCACCCCCAGCCAAGGGAAGCAGUGAGUGAGUGUGCGAUCCCGUCUGGGAAACCAUCCAUAGAUCUCUGCAACCAGCAGAUCAGGAGAUCCCCUUGUAACCCUAAGCCAACAGGGCCUUGUGACCAAUACAGAGCUGUGUGGUGUCCUGGCAGAGCAGUCACUUGGGCACACACAGAGACCCAGGAGUUCUGCAUACUCUGGCCCCAGGAUCCCGGCAAGGGGGAUGAUCCGUCAGUACAUAUCCCUAGGAAGGGGUCUGAAUCCAGGGAGCCAAACAGCAUUGUUCUGUGGGCCCCACUUCCAUGGCACCUCACAAGUGAAGACACACUGGCUUGGAAUUCCAGCCAGCCAGCCAGCAGUGAGAGGCUGAAGUUGGUCUGAGAAGGACCGAGUUGCUGGGGGCAGGGACAUCUGCUGACUCUGGAGAGUCCAGAUGGUCUGAAUGAGGAAGGGUCCCCCACAACAGAGCACAGCUGCACUACCAAAAAACAGCCAGAUUGCUUCUUUAAGAAGUGGGUCUGUGAUCCUGUUCCUCUUGACUGGGUGACUCUUCACAAAAGGGAUCUCCAAACACCUCCUACAGGUGCAGUUCAAGCUGGCAACAGGUCAGUACCCCCCUGGGACAAAGCUUCCAGAGGAAGGAACAGGCUGCCAUCUUUGCUAUUUCA